AUGGUCAAUCCAAUCAGGUUUCUCAUCCUCAUCUCUCCCCUUUGUCCCGUAGGGCUCCGGGCGGCCGUGACCCUGCUGGAGUGCGGGGGGGACCUCCAGCCCCCUGGGGGGUCCCUGACGUUGCUGUGCCGCGCAUCUGGGUUUGAUUUUGGCAGUUUUGGGAUGGGCUGGAUGCGCCAGAGACCCGAGCAGACACUGGAAUACAUCGCCAGUAUCAGCAACAGUGGUGGCAGCACUGACUACGCGCCAUCGGUCAAGGGCCGGUUCACGAUCUCCAGGGACAACCGGCAGAGCUCGGUGACGCUGACCAUGAACAAUCUCAAGGUCGAGGACUCCGGAUCCUAUUUCUGUGCCAAAUGUGCUACUAGUGGUUAUGGUGGUGGUGUUGCUGGUUUUAGUGACAAUUCCAGCAGUGGCCCCAGCCCUAUGACGAGCUCCGGGCGGCCGUGA